GACGAACGCUGGCGGCGUGCUUAACACAUGCAAGUCGAACGGAAAGGCCCUGCUUUUGUGGGUUGCUCGAUUGGCGAACGGGUGAGUAACACGUGAGUAACCUGCCCUUGACUUUGGGAUAACUUCAGGAAACUGGGGCUAAUACCGGAUAUGAGCUCCUGCUGCAUGUUGUGGGUUGGAAAGUUUCGGCGGUUGGGGAUGGACUCGCGGCUUAUCAGCUUGUUGGUGGGGUAGUGGUUUACCAAGGCUUUGACGGGUAGCCGGCCUGAGAGGGUGAACGGCCACAUGGGGACUGAGAUACGGCGCAGACGCCUACGGGAGGCAGCAGGGGGGAAUAUUGCAGAAUGGGCGGAAGCCUGAUGCAGCAACGCCGCGUGCGGGAUGACGGCCUUCGGGGUGUAAACCGCUUUCGACUGUGACGAAGCGUGAGUGACGGUAAUGGGUAAAGAAGCACCGGCUAACUACGUG
rnacentral:rRNA from 1 species